rnacentral:rRNA from 1 species
AACGAACGGUAGCGGCGUGGAUUAGGCAUGCAAGUCGAACGUGAACCUUGCUUCGGUGAGGUGAAAGUGGCGAAAGGGUGAGUAAUGCAUAGCCAACCUACCCCCGACACUGGGAUAACCAGGAGAAAUCUUGGCUAAGACCGGAUAUGCUCGCGAAGAUGCAUGUUUUUGCGAGUAAAGGAGGCCUCUUAACAAUGCUUCUGGUUGGGGACGGGACUAUGUUCUAUCAGCUAGUUGGUGAGGUAACGGCUCACCAAGGCGAUGACGGAUAGCCGACCUGAGAGGGUGACCGGCCACACUGGGACUGAGAUACUGCCCAGACUCCUACGGGAGGCUGCAGUCGAGAAUCUUCCGCAAUGGGGGAAACCCUGACGGAGCGACGCCGCGUGCGGGAUGAAGGCCUCGGUUGUAACCGACUGUCACACGUUAUAGAAGAAACGGAGUUAAAAGACUACUGGUCGUUGACAAAGGCGUAGGGAGGAAGG